AAACUCCUCUUGGGAGGCCAGGGAACAGAGCGCUGUUGCACCUUCCUACCGGGUUACGGGGUUCCUACCAGCCAGGUCGCAACCUCAGCCCAGUAGGCUCAUCUUAAGGACAAGAACGGUGGGUAGGUGUUAUUCUUAUUUCCCGGCUUCAAAUAACAAGAGAAAUAAGCUGCCUCUGGAAUCCUCCCAUUUUGAUAACAGGCAAGAAGAAUCUAAGGCGGAGGAGGAAGGUUUGAUCCUGGGGAUUUUGAAAGCAAUGAAACUCUGAGCCUGGCUGCACCAUUCUCGGGCUUGCCUUGAUGGUAACUUCCGGAGGAAACUUUGAAGAGAAGGGCGAUUCUGAGAAAAAUCCCCUGCACCCACUUUUACCACCCGGGUCACAGUUCUCUCAUUGUCCCUAGCAAACUGCCCCCGUGGCCUCUGUCCCGCCUAACACAGCUCAGUUGGGGGGUGGGUGCGAGGGGUGGGGACUAUAGCCUGUGAUGCUCCAGCAGGAGCAGCUGGCCUAGGAGGGAGUCUCUCCCCGCGCCGCUUAGCACCGCCUCACUGCGUGGCUCCGCCCAAUAGCUGCUUAGCACUCUUUCAACGACACCCAGAAAUUCUGACGUACCCUCCCCCUCUCCUCCCGGGGACGAAGGCCUGGCUUGUGACGCCCGCUCCAAAAGGGCAUGAUACUGAUGCGGGUUUCCCCGGGUGCCCGGGCCUCUCCAAACUGGGAGAGCUUGCCGGAGGUGCCCACCGAGGGGCGACCCAGGACUGCGCUUGGUCACCCACGAUGCCCACGUACCGGAUCCGCGGCUCGCACCGCCCAGCGUAUAGCCAGCCUGCGGCGCGCUUCCGGGUAGGACACGUGACUCAGCCACAUGACCGGGGCCUGCUUUGUGGGUUCGAGCCCCGCCCCGUCAGGCAUUGCUCACCCUUCAGGCUACUGUGCUUGCUGGUCACCCGCCGCUAGGGAGCGGUGCCACGUUCACCCUGGCUUAAGUAGGUAUCUCACUGCCUUUAGAGGCACCUGCUGAGUGCGGUGACAUUUCUAGAGGCUCUUUUGCUUGAUUUAGCUAAAGGGAUUCCCCACAGAUUUACAGAAGGGGCAACUGAGAACCCCGAGGGAACCCCCUUGCUGAAGAAGGAACAAAUGGAACCAGAACCCAGGUUUCCUUGCACCUUCAUCAGGCCCUUCCCAGCCUUUCGUUUUCUUGCCUAAUCUAGUUGUAGGUGAAAGGUACCCUUUUUGUGGGUGCUUUCCCUUACUUACCUCCAGGGGGCGGAACCCGUGUGUCUUAGUCAGGGUUUCUAUUCCUGCACAAACAUCAUGACCUAGAAGCAGUUUGGGGAGGAAAGGGUUUAUUCGGCUUACACUUCCAUACUGCUGUUCAUCACCAAAGGAAGUCAGGACCGGAACUCAAGCAGGUCAGGAAGCAGGAGCUGAUGCAGAAGCCAUGGAGGGANNNNNNNNNNNNNNUCCCACCCACAAGGGGCCUUUCCCCCUUGAUCACUAAUUGAGGAAAUGCCUUACAGUUGGAUCUCAUGGAGGCAUUUCCUCAAAUGAAGCUCCUUUCUCUGUGAUAACCCCAGCUGUGUCAAAUUGACACAAAACUAGCCAGUACACCAUGCAGAAGAGCCCAGCUACCUUUGUGCUCCUUGAUUUACAAAGGUUCCCAGUCUGACUGAGGGCUGCAUACACAUUAGGGCUUUUGUCUUGAACCUGCGAGUGAUUGCAUACUAUCAAGAUUUUUAUGUGUAUUUGGAGGGACGGAAAGAGUGAAGGCGGCCAAUGGAAUCCACAGAAGAGGCUGGGCGCCUACCCCAGGUCUUCAUUGAGUACCUUGGUGUUUCUGAGAAACUUUGUGUACGACCCAGCAUGAACACUCCGCACCCACUAGGCAGAGGCCAAGAGCCAGUGCUGCGGCCACUCCAGCUACCUAAGGUACAAUUAAACAACAUCGCAAACGCCUGCGCCUGCGCCUUCGCCACCACCCUGCUCAGCCAGGCUCCACAGUACAGCCACAAGCAUCAGUCUCCUGGAGUCCUGAAUCUGCCGACACUAUCCUGACUUCGGUCGGUCAUUUCCCCCUUGUUUCAAACAGUUUGUAAGCCUGAAUAACUGUUACCCGUGAACAAUUUAUAACUAAUCUAGUCCAUGUUACCUGAUGCUAGUGACUUGUGUCUUGCAGAUGACUAAAGAAUGGCGCCGAUCAUCUCUUCAUGUGGUUUUUCUCUUCAUUUGUGUAGCUUUAAAAUUUUUUUUGCUUUCAAAUAAACAUUUAUUCAUAUCUUCU
ensembl:processed_transcript Gm16244 predicted gene 16244